UGGGGAAUUUUGGACAAUGGGCGCAAGCCUGAUCCAGCAAUGCCGCGUGCAGGAUGAAGGCCUUCGGGUUGUAAACUGCUUUUGUACGGAACGAAAAGGCUCUGGCUAAUACCUGGGGCACAUGACGGUACCGUAAGAAUAAGCACCGGCUAACUACGUGCCAGCAGCCGCGGUAAUACGUAGGGUGCGAGCGUUAAUCGGAAUUACUGGGCGUAAAGCGUGCGCAGGCGGUUUUGUAAGACAGAGGUGAAAUCCCCGGGCUCAACCUGGGAACUGCCUUUGUGACUGCAAGGCUGGAGUGCGGCAGAGGGGGAUGGAAUUCCGCGUGUAGCAGUGAAAUGCGUAGAUAUGCGGAGGAACACCGAUGGCGAAGGCAAUCCCCUGGGCCUGCAACUGACGCUCAUGCACGAAAGCGUGGGGAGCAAACAGGAUUAGGAUACCCUGGUAGUCCACGCCCUAAACGAUGUCAACUGGCUUGUUGGGUCUU
rnacentral:rRNA from 1 species